rnacentral:rRNA from 1 species
GAUGAACGCUGGCGGCGUGCCUAAUACAUGCAAGUCGAGCGAACAGACGAGGAGCUUGCUCCUCUGACGUUAGCGGCGGACGGGUGAGUAACACGUGGAUAACCUACCUAUCAGACUGGGAUAACUUCGGGAAACCGGAGCUAAUACCGGAUAAUAUAUUGAACCGCAUGGUUCAAUAGUGAAAGACGGUUUUGCUGUCACUUAUAGAUGGAUCCGCGCCGCAUUAGCUAGUUGGUAAGGUAACGGCUUACCAAGGCUACGAUGCGUAGCCGACCUGAGAGGGUGAUCGGCCACACUGGAACUGAGACACGGUCAAGACUCCUACGGGAGGCAGCAGUAGGGAAUCUUCCGCAAUGGGCGAAAGCUUGACGGAGCAACGCCGCGUGAGUGAUGAAGGUCUUCGGAUCGUAAAACUCUGUUAUUAGGGAAGAACAAAUGUGUAAGUAACUAUGCACGUCUUGACGGUACCUAAUCAGAAAGCCACGGCUAACUACGUG